GCAAUAACAAAAGUUUUGCGUUUAUAUUUUUCGUCAGUGUAUGAACUCUGUCUACACCAUUCUUCUCCUAAAGCUGGAGAAAGACCCCCCGCCCCCCCAGUCUUCUAGCUACCAUCCCAUCUCUGAUCAAUGCGGAUCUUAAGCUGCGUUCAUACCAAGCAUGAUUUGCGCUGCAGAUUUGCGGCAGAUGCCUCUCUAUUUCGCCCUGCAGCAAAUUCUCUGCUCACCUCCUGCCCAAAAAUCGCUUGGCCGCGUGUGGGAGGAACAACCAUUGUGUACUACAAUAUUUUUAGCCUGAUCGCUACAUGGAGUGGUGUCUGUGUUUAUCUAAUUUAAAAUGCAAGAAAGACACAGAUGAUGUUAAGAGAUCAGAGUUGUUUAUUUUGAAGAUUUCUACAAAAACAUUAGUAAUGAUCACGUAGUAAUGAUAGUUGAGGUAUACCUAUGAUGAAAGUUACAGGCCCCUUUCAUCUUUUUAAGUUGGAGAACUUGCACAAGUGGUGGCUGACUAAAUACUUUUUGCCCCAAAUACCUUAUUGUCCGCACUGUAGGGCACACUUAAAAGCAUUCAUUUUUUUCAAAAGACAGCAGUGCGCCUUGUAAUCCAGAGUGCGUAAAUAAACUGGUUGUGUUUUUCUGAUGUCGAAGAGAUUUUAAAAGAUGCACGGAGCUCUGUCAAAAUGUUUGUUGUGUGAUAUUUCUAACGUAGAGCUGUGUAUGACUGUUAUUUUAUGUGUUACAAGGUUGAGAGUUAGCAUAGUCACAGUAACAUUUGUUUCAGCUCAAUCAGUUUUUAUAAGUGUUGCAAAAAAGAUAUUGUAAUAAAGCUAACAUGGCUAAUGUGUACUGAGUUAAUAAUAAUAAUAAUUAAUAAUAAAAUAUUUGAUACUUUAUUUAUCCCACAAUGGGGAAAUUCUUCUCCGCAUUUUGACCCAUCCCCUAUGGAGAGCGGUAAGCUGCAGACUAGCCAUGUUCGGGGGGCGACAGCUGGCUGGGGAUCCGCCAACCCUUUAGUUGUUGGACGACCUGCUCUACCGCCUGAGCUAAACUGAACUUAAAAACAAGUUCUAGCGUUACUUGAACGCAGUUAUUAAUGUCUGGCUGACUUUUUUGUUCUGCUUAAUGCCCCUUUUGGUGUGCCUUAUGAAAUAAGUUUCAAAAUAGCCCAUCUACUAUAGGGCACGCCUUGUCAUGCAAAAUAUACUUUCAAUGCUAAAAGGCUUGGAACAUUUUGCACCAAUGAAAUAAUGAUUUUUUUAUUGUUAAAUUAUUGAUAGACAAGUUUAGAUUAUCAGUAGAAAUAUAGAUAGGGAUUAUUAUAGUAAGGGUCAAUGGUUGCAGGUUGAAUCUGCCCAAAAUUUGCAGAAAUCAACCUUUUUUCAUAUAUUUUUCAGGGCAGAGUUGGCAUCAGACAGACCUUUUUUGUGAUGGCAAGAAGGCACACCAUUUACAGAAUUCCGCCAAUUUUCCCUCUGUGUGAUAAUAAGCUGUUGCUGUCAUGGUACCCCCAGGAGUCCUCUACUGCCCCUCCCUUCUCUGCUUCCUCCUUUAUUGGACCCAGCUGUCGGCAUUCACCUCAUCAUCUGCACCUGUAUUUAAGACGACUCCAGACCAGUAUUCAUCGCCAGUUUGUUUGCCCUCUAUGAAUUCUCGCAUCCGUCCACGCCGACCUGGGUCCAGCCACAAGACCAUCAGCCUCAAGUCUGUAUUCCAGCUCCUCAAAAUUCCAGCACUCUAACUCCAUCCUGCCUUCAAGCCCGUUCCUCGCAAAUCAAGCUCCACUAGAGAGAAGUCGCUCCAGCUCGGCUCCAACAUCCUCCUCAGCAUCUGGCAUCUCCUGCUCCGGUGACAUCUUCGCCACUAGUCUCCCAGUGAUCAAAGACUUGUCAAAAUUAAAUCCAUUCUCGCCACUUC